rnacentral:lncRNA from 1 species
UUUUUUUUCGUGAAAAAUUAUAUACUAGUGCAAAAGUAAGUCAAGUUCAUUCCAAAAAUAGUUCUUACAUAUUUUGACUUUUAUUUAAUUAUUAAAAAAAAUCCCCAUAUAGGUUUAUCUACAACCGGGAACCAAAGUUUAUUUCCCCUCCAACGUUGUGCUAAUUAGCUCUGUGGUUUCAUCAAAUUGUUCUGCUUUAACAGAUGCCAUGUCUGUUAAAUUUUUAAUACUCAUAUCAGUAUCACUAGAUCCACCAUAAAGUUAAUAAUUUUUAACAGAAAUUUGCUCAUAUUUAACAAAAGUAAUCCGGACAGCGAAGAGAAAAGUGCACUGUCAAGGAAAAACAAAACGGGAAGCGUGGCCUCCUCCCGGGCCGGGCCCGUCCGGCACGGCCUUUUGCCUCCCUUCCUUACCCACCUACGUGUUUCUUUCUUAAGCCCCAAGAAGAAGAAGAAGAAGAGGGAGACACGCGCAGGGCCACCGCGCGGCCGCCGUCGACAAAUAAAACCCGCCCGCCGGACCGACCGCCCGAGGCGCACACACCAAGACGACAGUCGGCAGCGGCGCUCCCCCCCUUCAACAGUCUACUUCCUCGUUUCCGUCCAGGCAAGUAACCUCUCCUCUCUUCUCCUGCUUCGAUCCCCGCGUCCAUCUCUGUUUUAGCCGCCGCCGUUGGGCGUCCGUGCGGGCUCUGCAAAAUCGGCGGUUGAUUUAGGCAUGCGAGUAGCGGAGCAAGAUUUUUCGUGGUUAUCUCUGCUCAUUCGAGUAGCGGGGCAAGAUUUGCUCCAUGGUUUAGGCCUUCAGGCGGGCGGUUUCUGAAAAGAAAUUCAGAUAGCCGAUUUCUCAUACUGUAGGAGUAGUUACCAUCAAGAUCUGGAAUUUAAUCCGGAGGCUUGACACUUGCACCUUGGAACAUGAGAUCAGGUUAUCAUCUCGUCUCCCUGUUUACAUCCUAUUGCUACACCAAAAUGGUCAAAUAAAAUUUGCGGGAAAUGAAAUAUAAUCAGGUUUUGUUCGUCAGUAAGUUCAGAGGAACACUGCAGUGUUUCAAUAUCCGCUUGUCCUGUUAUCUACUUGGAUUGUAAUCGAAGAACAACAAAAUAUUGGGUUAUUACCGUUGUAAUGUACAGAUAUAGUGUCGUGAUCAACGGGGACUGAAGUGAGUUUUCUAUUUUCUCCGCCCCCAGAUUUGCAGGUCAUACCUGAGUUGCUGCUGCUGAAAUGGGUAGCACUGAAGCCCCAACGCCCGUGCAGGCACCUGUGUGCUCCAUUGUGAACGAAGGCCCAGCAGCUCCGGCUGCUUGCUCCAUUGUGAACGAAGCAGCAGCUCCUGCCACUGACUCGAAGCCGAAGAAGAAGAUAUGCUGCGCUUGCCCCGACACCAAAAGGCUCAGAGAUGAAUGCAUCGUCAAGCACGGGGAGUCUGCGUGCACCAAGUGGAUCGAGGCUCACAAACAGUGCCUCCGUGCCGAGGGGUUCAAGGUCUGAUAGCCCCCUCAGGAUGCUGCAUUUGCUUUCAUGGAUGUUGCAGAACAUGCUAGUUGAGAUUCAGUUAGAGGAGUUGCCUUGUUUUUAAAUGUUGUUCCUGUAUGGUUUAAUGGUUAGCGAGCUUGAUACCUGUCUCCGUGGGAAAUAAAUUACUGAUGACUGUGACUUUAUCGGUUAUAUGAGAAGUUUUCUUGGUGUUCAUAUUGUUGCCCAUCUCAGCUUUGUUUGGCAUGGAAUAUACAAUAUUCCUGAUGUGGAAAUUUGAUAGUGAUAACUGAUAACACAGCAUCAAGAAUAGAGUCUUCAUAUUUAUUUGCUCAUUGCUGCAAUGCACAUACAGAAUUACAGUGUUGAUAUACAGAAUUACAAUGCUGAUAUACAGACUUGUCGCAUAUGCAUAUACAGAAUAAUGCUGAUAUACUGUAUAUAUUGGUCUGCACCACUGUCCAUUCCAUGUGGAUCGACUGGUCUAUGGGGUAAAUUUGUUACUGAAUUUUGACACUGGUCUGCACCAAACUCUGGUAAAUACUGGUCUGGAGUCGCCAAACAUUUUUGUUACUGAAUUUUGACGCCAAACAUUUUUGUUACUGAAUUUUGACAUUGGUCUGGUAGAUACUGUAAUGUGUUAAUCUAUUAAUCUGAAUUUUGUUACUGAUGAUGACAGAAAAUUUGUGCACCGUAUUUCGUUAAUCUGGACAGCUCAGUAGUUAUUGGAUUCAGUUAACCAAAGUUUAGUUCUUGUUGGCGCAAGUGCAAAAGUUACUGUCAAGAUGCAAGCAUUUUUCUUUGGUGCAAAAAUUACUGUCAAGAUGCAUAUCCUGUUGCUCCUCGGAAUGAGCUGCUCUGUUCUCAACUCAACUCAUUUUCACAAGCAUGCAGAGAAGAUAUAAAUAAACAGGAAAACAGGAGUAGUUUGUAUAAAUAGAAGUCCUGAGUCCAACUUGUACUGAUCAUGACCCAACUUGUACUGAAUUUUCCUCACAAUUAUUCAAAACUCACAAUAAGCUACUGUAUUUCAUAUAAAUCACUAUCUUCUUUGCCAAAUAAUCACAUGCAGAGAAGAUGGUACCUUGCCAGAAAAUCGCAAUGACAACCUCUACUCCACCCCAGAAUAAUUCUGUAUCUUCAUACACUAGCAGUAGCAGAUUUACAACCAUGGAUGGAUCAAGUGUUCCCUACGAAGGCUUUGAACUUGAUCAGCCAUUGAUCAAGUGUUCAGUAUGGAGUACAAAUGCUUUCUGCCUCUCCGGAUCAAUUUUAAACACACACUAUUGUUGAUCCUAGCGGCCAUGGAGGUGGGUCAUGUGGCGAGUAGUUAGCUUGUGAGAUUAUGGGUGGAGUUCGGGUUAUGUAACUAUUGUAACCGCCAAUGCGGAGGUGCUUCUUUCCCCAUUCUCCUCUUUAAUAGAUGUAGUAUGCACGCUCGUGCGUAUUUGAGAAUAAACAAUUGUUGAUCCACUGCUCAAUUUCACAGGUGGAGUAAAGAAGUGAAUGAUUUCACCGAUCCACACUAUUGCUUUCUUUUGUUUUGCCUGUCGCUGCUGAUCCACACUGUUGUUUCUGCCUUUCUUUGUUUCUUGCUCAAUUGGAAGUAAUUUCACAUCAAUGGUCCCGCGAGCUGCGCCCGGAAGUGCGCGGGGAAGGUUGAGGCCCGACCGCGGCCGCGCUUGGGAAAGCUGCCGACGGUGACGACGGGAAGGAGGAAGGUGGAGACGGGGUGGUUAGUACGAGAAUUAACUCUAUGAGGGGGUUUUUGAAUUUCGGGACGAUUGGUUUCUGUCAGACGGUUGGGUUUUUUUUUUUUUUGAAAUGGAACACUAAGAUUCCAUAGCUUAACUUGGUCCAGCCAAAACGCUGCGUACGUAUCCCCCCGCGUGUGGGGGUCGGGUCUGUAAUCGAUUCGGGGUUUUCUAUGAUGUUUGCAGGAUUCUUUUUUGCGCUUAAUUGGGCCAUCACGUGCAAUUGUGUUAACAGACAUAGUUGACAUUGAAAUCCAACUGAAAGUGAAAGGUCCAACAAUGUCUCAAGAUAAAGCAUUGAUCAGCUAUGUCGCCAAUUAUAGUGGAGGAGGUCUUGGCGUAUCGACCCUUUGCAUUGAUAAUUGUUUGUGUACACUGGAGUUAUGCUUGCAGCAUGUCAAACGAACAGUCCAGGCUACCAUCUUGAGUGUCCAAGUUGUCAAGUGUGGUUCAUGGCCGUUUGAAUAUGGUGGCCGAGUUGCUUGCUCCUCAGCUUCACGGGAAACGGUGGUCACUGAUAGUGGAGUCACUUGUGCUAUUAAUCCCUCAUCUAGCCAAAUUGUAAUGCUUGAAUCAAAAGAUGGAGCAAUGCUGAAAGGUCUUAAUGGUCACAUAUACCUGCCGAGGCAAGUUGUUUCUGUAGAAAUUGAAGGAGUGUUGGACAUUGCCAUAGAAGCCUACACAAAAUCUGGUGAUAUCGGUGCACAGGGUCGUAUUUGUUUCGCGCCCCAGGUUUGCAACAUAAGCCAGGAUAAAUUUGCCAUUGCUGAUGUUGAGGUGAUGAUUACGAUUGCUUGGUCCCUUGUCCCUACAAGCAAAAGGGAAAUUGUGGCACAACGACAGUUUCUCUAAAGCUGAUAUCUAGGAGGUUGUGGCGUGGAACACUAGAAAGACAAGGCAACACCAACCAAACCUUUGCUCACCAUUCAUCAUGUUUGUUAUACAUGUAAAAUGUUUCUAUUUGUUUAUCAAUUAGACGAUAUGCCAUCCAAGUAGUCAUGUAAUGACUUUUCUUCUACUAUCCCUAUAUAAAAGCACGAAGUGCCGAGAUCCAAAUUCAUUCUAUCCGUGUACACAAUAGAUCCUAUAGUCUAAAAUUCUACAAUUAUCACUGUACCGCACGUCUCCCACUGUCAACCUUCGCUCCAAAAAAAAACACCCAUCGCUCCUCCCCCCUUGCACGACCCCCACGCGCCCAGCUGCUACUUGCGCUUCCUGCACGUCCCCCACACGCCCAACGCAACCUCCUCACCUCUCCCCCGCUCGCCUCUGGCCUCACUCCCUUCCCUUCAUAAUGCCCCUCCCCGUCGGUGUUCCCGUCGGCUCCCUCCCUCUGCAACAUCACCUUUCGUGCGGCAGCACGAUGUUGCCUUCCCAUGGGCCGCCCCCCACGCUCCUCGACAACCUGGUCACCACCACCCCCGACCCAAAGAAGGAUGGUGGCCUGGUGGGGGUGGGUACACUGCAGUCGACGAACACGGCUCAGAGCAGUCGUAAUUUGGCAAUUGUGCAGGAGCCCUGUCGGUGUUAAAACCGGCAGACCUUGGGGUAGGGGGCCCCAAGUUGCGGAUCUCAGACAGAUGGUAACAAGAACAGAGAGACGAUGUUUUCCCAGGUUCGGGCCCUUUUGAAGGGUAAAACCCUACUUCCUGCUCGUGUUUAUAUGAAUGGAGAUGUAUCAAGUACAGACUUGAUCUACCUCAAGAUCAUAAUAUGUGGUCUAACUCUAGGGCUAGCUAGGUCAAUUUUAUUGCAUUGAUGUCUCCUCUACGGGCUAAACCCUACGGCUUAUAUACACGCCAGAUAGGGUAUCUAGGGUUACAAGGUCGGCAUCUAGGAGCAAGGCGGCAUGAGAGAUCUUGGAGUAUACGCCAAGUCUUGGAUGGAGGUAGUAUUGAUCACGCCUCCUGCAUACGGCUUCCGAAGUCCAUCUUGAUCACGAAUGAGGGCACAUUAGCCAACCCGAGGAGAUGGGCUGACUAGGCUAGCACCCCCUAAUCCAGGACACCAUUAGUAGCCCCCGAACUGGUCUUCUACGUCGAGGACGACUUCCUUGAUGAAAGCAACCUCGGACCCGGAGUCCUUGGCUCGACAGACGAGUUCCCCUUUAUAAUUCCCGAAUCACUCCUUCAAAGGGGCGAUGCCUGCCAAGGUCCAGCUGAGCUUGUAUCCUUUUCAAAGAGAUCACAUAACUUAGCCUCGAAGAUCAACCAUCUAGGUAUGAAUAGUCACACCUAGUCUGGCAACUUUAUCGAAGCGGUUCACCCCACGACGUGUGGGGCAGUUACUGCUUCCCUUAAAUCUGUUGGGGAACGUAGCAAUAAUUCAAAAUUUUCUACGCAUCACCAAGAUCAAUCUAUGAAGAUUCUAGCAACAAGAGAGGGAGAGGAUGAGUGUAUCUUCAUACCCUUGAAGAUCGCGAUGCGGAAGCGUUACAAGAACGCGGUUGGUGGAGUCGUACACACAGCGAUUCAGAUCGCAGCCGAUUCCGAUCUAAGCGCCAACAGACGGUGCCUUCGCGUUUAACACACGUACAGCCCGGGGAUGUCUCCUCCUUCUUGAUCCAGCAAGGGGAGAGGAGAAGUUGAGGGAAAACUCCAGCAGCACGACGGCGUGGUGGUGAUGGAGCUCGUGGUUCUCCGGCAGAGCUUCGCUAAGCACUACAGAGGAGGAGGAGGUGUUGGAGGAGGAGAGGGCUGCGCCAGGGAAGGGGGUGCGGCUGCCCUCUCUCUCCCUCACUAUAUAUAGGGGGAAGGGGGGAGGAGGAGGCGCCCUAGGGUUUCCCUAGGGGAGGGGCGGCGGCCACACAGGAAACCCUAGAUGGGUUUGGGCGCUCCCACCCCUAGGAAACUUGCCCCCCCCAAGCCAGGAGGGGUGGCUUCCCUAGGGGAGGCGCCCCCACCUCUCCAAGUUACGUGAGAUGGGGUGGGAGGGGCGCACAGCCCCUUAGUGGGCUGAUGUGCCCCAUCCCCUUGGCCCAUAAGGCCCCCCAACACUUGUCGGGGCCUCCGAAACCCCUUUCGGACACGCUGGUCGUCACCCGGUACCCCCGAAACAAUUUCGGACUCAAUACCCUUCGUCCAAUAUAUCGAUCUUCACCUCCGGACCAUUACGGAGUUCCUCGUCACGUCCGAGAUGUCAUCCGGGACUCCGAACAACCUUGGGUAACCACAUACUAUUUCCCAUAACAACUCUAGCGUCACUGAACCUUAAGUGCGUAGACCCUACGGGUUCGGGAACCAUGCAGACAUGACCGAGACGUUCUCCGGCCAAUAACCAACAGCGGGAUCUGGAUACCCAUGUUGGCUCCCACAUGUUCCACGAUGAUCUCAUCGAAUGAACCACGAUGUCGGGGAUUCAAUCAAUCCCAUAUACAAUUCCCUUUGUCAAUCGGUAUGUUACUUGCCCGAGAUUCGACCGUCGGUAUCCCAAUACCUCGUUCAAUCUUGUUACCGGCAAGUCACUUUACUCAUUCCAUAAUGCCUGAUCCCGUGACUAACUACUUAGUCACAUUGAGCUCAUUAUGAUGAUGCAUUACCGAGUGGGCCCAGAGAUACCUCUCCAUCAUACGGAGUGAAAAAUCCCAGUCUCAAUUCGUGCCAACCCAACAGACACUUUUGGAGAUACAUGUAGUGCACCUUUAUAGCCACCCAGUUACAUUGUGACGUUUGGUACACCCAAAGCAUUCCUACGGUAUCCGGGAGUUGCACAAUCUCAUGGUCUAAGAAAAUGAUACUUGACAUUUAGAAAAGCUCUUAGCAAACGAACUACACGAUCUUGUGCUAUGCUUAGGAUUGGGUCUUGUCCAUCACAUCAUUCUCCUAAUGAUGUGAUCCCGUUAUCAAUGACAUACAAUGUCCAUGGUCAGGAAACCAUAACCAUCUAUUGAUCAAUGAGCUAGUCAACUAGAGGCUCACUAGGGACAUGUUGUGGUCUAUGUAUUCACACAUGUAUUACGGUUUCCAGCUAAUACAAUUAUAGCAUGAAAAUUAGACAAUUACCAUGAACAAGAAAUAUAAUAAUAACCAUUUUAUUAUUGCCUCUAGGGCAUAUUUCCAACAGUCUCCCACUUGCACUAGAGUCAAUAAUCUAGUUCACAUCACUAUGUGAUUGUAAUGAAUCCAACACCCAUUGGGUUUGAUCAUAUCUCGCUUGUGAGAAAGUGAAAGAACAUGCGGUGCCCCCAUGUUUGGUUUUGGUAAUUGAUGACAAUCUCUAUGGACUAAUGGUUGCCUUGAGUUAUAUUUGAAGGUUUUGUCCAUAGGCUUUUCUUGAAGUCCAUGUGUUGGUUUCAAGGAGUUUAUGAGUUAACCAAGGUGCUAUUAAGGAAUUAUCCAAAGAUUCGUCAUGUGAGUGUUGAGCGUAUUGCAAGCAUGUCUUGAAGAAGAAGAUUGUGUGAUCAUUCAUGUUUACCUUCAAGACAUCAUCCAAAUUAAGAGAGUUGGAAAGAUUCAAGGUUGAUCAAGACUAAGUCAAGAGUGAAUCAAGUUGAUCAACUCACAAAGCGUAGAAGAUGUACCGAGAGGGAUCAAGUGAUCCCAUGCUAUGGUAAGCAUUGUCCAUUGCACUUUGUGUACUAACCCAUGGUCUAUGUGAGAGUUCCAUGUGGGGUUAGGUACGUGUCCAUGGGCUUGCGUCAAGAGGAAGAUAUCAUACAACCCAUGGAAAGGAUGACAUCAAGUGGUGAUCGUCAUCAAGAUUGCCGUGUGCAAGUUCAAGUGGAGCAUCACGAAGAGAUCAAGUGCUUGAAUCUUGCCAUCCAUUGUGGUGUCAAUGGACUUGUGAAGAUGUGUCGAAGAGUGGCUCACCCAUAAUGGACUAUGGAGGAGCAAUCAUCUAGUCUUCAUCAAGCCAACGCAAUCAAGAAAGGUGGUCCAACUUGAGGGAGUCAAGAUCGUCAUCAUAUAGCUCAAGUGGACCAUGUGCAAGGCAAAGGUUUUUCCCUUGAUAGUUUUUCUAUUUUCCCGGUCUCGUGGUGGUAGUUGGGAGACCGGGCUAUAGGAUCGUUUGUCGUACUAUCAAGGGGGGCUCUCAAGUUGGUGGCUUGAUCGUAUCGUUAGUAGAAAGCUCAAACCAUUGCAUCCUUGCAUCAUGUUUCUUGGUUCUUGUUUAGUUCUGUUUGUGAGUCUUAGAGCUUAUGGUCAUCUUGAUGACAAGCUUGAGUUCAUCGAAAACGGAGUUCGCAUGCGUCUUCUAUGAUGUUUUCGGUGUUGGAGGUUUUACCGGUCUUAUCCAAGGAAGGGUUCUCACCUUUUUCUUAUGACUUUUCUAUUUUGCUUCUUAUUGAUAUUUCUUUCAAGAUUGUGUUAGCCCUUAUUGCUAGCUUUCCAACAAACUUGGUUUCAUCGAAUUCGGAGUCCGCUUGCAAAAGUUGUGGCAGUUUUGGUGUUCUGAAAAGGCUGCAGCGGUACUACCGCGAAUUGGAGCGGAUGUAACUUUUUACUACCGCUCCAGAGCGGUACUACCGCGGCUCCUACAGCGGUAGUACCGCUCCAGACCAAAAAACUCGUCCCAAGUCCUGCGGAGGUAGGUACGGAAGUAUUUUUUUUGUACCGCAAGCAGUAGUACCGCGAUCCCUAGCGGUAGUACCGUGAGGACGAGCGGUAGUACCGCUCUGUGCGGGUUGUGAGCAUAACGGUUGGAUUUUCCCCCACCUAUAAAAGGGGGUCUUUUUCCCCAUUGAACCUUAUCCUUUGAGCUCGUGUUCUUCCCCCAUUGUUGACCUUCUUCGAGCUUGCUAACUCUCAAUCCCUCCAUGGAUUCUUGCUAGUUUUUGAGGGAAAAGAGAGAGGAGAUCUAGAUCCACAUUUCCACCAAUCACUUUCUCCUUUUUGUGAGGGGAACCCUUUGGAUCUAGAUCUUGGAGUUCUUCGUGUUCUUCUUUCGUUCUUCCUCUCAUUUUCCUUCCUAGCAUUAGUUGCUUUGGUGGGAUUUGGGAGAGAAGGACUUGGGCACUCCAUGUGCCCUUGCCAUUGCAUUUGGUGCAUCGGUUUGAGUUCUCCACGGUGAUACGUGGAAGUGAAGUUUGAGAAGCUUAUUACUCUUGGGUGCUUGGUGCCCUUGAGCUUGUUCCUCUUGGGUGCUUGGGCGCCCUAGACGGUUGGUGGUGUUCGGAGCUCAAUCAUUGUGGUGUAAAGCUCCGGGCAAGCAUCGGGGUCUGCAAUUAGGUUGUGGAGAUCGCCCCGAGCAUUUUGACGGGUUCCGGUGACCGCCCCCAAGGGUUGCCAAAGUGUAUGGGUUCGGUGACCGCCCCCAAGGGUUGCCAUUUGUAUGGGUUCGGUGACCGCCCUCAAGGGUCCCUUAGUGGAAUCACGGCAUCUUGCAUUGUGCGAGGGCGUGAGGAGAUUACGGUGGCCCUAGUGGCUUCUUGGGGAGCAUUGUGCCUCCACACCGCUCCAAACGGAGAUUAGCAUCCGCAAGGGUGUGAACUUCGGGAUACAUCAUCGUCUCCGCGUGCCUUAGUUAUCUCUUAUCCGAGCCCUUUACUUAUGCACUUUACUUUGUGAUAGCCAUAUUUUUCUUUGUCAUAUAUCUUGCUAUCACAUAGUUGCUUAUCUUUCUUAGCAUAAGUUGUUGGUGCACAUAGGUGAGCCUAGUUGUUUUAGGUUUUGUGCUUGACAAAUUAACCGUUAGGUUUAUUCCGCAUUUGUUCAAGCCUAAACCAUAAUUAUUUUAAAGUGCCUAUUCACCCCACCCCCCCUUCUAGGCGACAUCCUCGAUCUUUCAAUUGGUAUCAGAGCCUCGUCUCUCUUUUUAGGGCUUAACCGCCUAGAGAGUAAAGAUGUCGCCUAGGGGAUUAGAAUUCUCCGACACUCUUAGUUUCAAUGGCACAAAUUUUGAUAUUUGGGUAAUUCGCAUGCUUAAUCUCUUUAGGGUCAUGGACCCAAAUUUAGAGCGAAUUGUAGAUAUGGGUUUUCCUCCUCCAAAGGAUCCCCAAAUAUUAUCUUUAGAUGAUGAGAAAAACUCUUAUCUCAAUGCUCAAGCUUCUAAUGUGCUUUUCGAUGCUUUGAGCAAUGUAGUUAUAUUUCAACUCAUGCCGUUCCGGGAUGCUCAUGAGUUGUGGAUGAAGCUUCAAGAUAGAUAUGGUGUGUCCAUGAAUUGUAGGGAUGAUUGUUCUCCCUCCACCUCCGGCCGCAUAGUCUUCUCAACUUCUUCUACUUCACCUACAUGUGGUUUGCCACAAGGUAAUGAUAUGGUGAGUAGUGUUGGUCAUUGCAAUGAUGAUAGUAUGCUUAUUGUGGAUGAUUCUUCAUCACUAUAUUAUUGCAAUGCUCCAUCUUUGGGCUUUAACACUUCGAGCACUCCAAAUGUUUCACAUGCUUGUGUUGAUAGUCCUUGCAUAUCAUGUAGAAAUUGCUUGACUAAAUCUCAUGAUGAUAUGCUUGCUAUAUCUUGUUGCCACGAUAAAAAUGCAUGUAUUUCCUCGAGUUAUUGUGCUAACAAUGUAGAGGAAACCCAACACUCCAUGGAACAAGAUGUGGUUUUGAAUGGUGCUUCAAGGGAUCCUACAUCAUCAUCUAUUGCUUUUUGCCUUAUGGCCAAGGCUUCAAAGGUAUCUCCCACUUUGAAUCCCAAUAUAUCUUGUGAUGAUAUUGAUAAUGGCAAGAGUGAUGAUGAUGUCGAUUAUGAUGAAGAGAAUGAUGAUGUUGCCUCCUUAAAAAUUAAGGGGGAAAUGAUUUUUAAAGCUCUUCUUAAGAAUAAAAUUGCUCGUUCCAACUUCAUGGAAAUAAUGUCCAUUGCCAUUGAUGGCAAGAAAUACAUUGAGGAGUUGUAAUCUCAUCUAGAGGAGCAUGAGGUCACCAUUGAGAAAAUGGAAGCUCAUGGGCGUGAUUACGCAAAUGAGAUCGCGGAGCUAUCUCAAGCUCUUGAACAUGAACAAACCACCUCCGAAUCUCUUGAGGAGACUUUUGCUUUAGAAUUAUCUAGAGUUAAGGAAUCUCAUGAUAGAGCUCUUGAGGUGGCCAAUGAUUUCAAAACUAAAAAUGCUAAGCUUGAAGUUUCUCAUGCUAGACUCCUUGAGGAUUUUGAGCACCUCCAAAAUGGCUCAAGGGUCAUCAAGGGUGAGCUCAUCAAACUCACCGAGUCUCAUGCCCAACUUGAAGCUUCUUAUUUAAAAGAGCUUGCCAAGUUGUCCUAUCCUAUUGUUGUAAAUGAUGAUGCUUGUGCUACUAACUCUAUUACUUGUGAAGCAUCUAUUUUGAAGGAGAAUGUUGAGCUACGGGCUCAACUUGAGGUGCUAUCUAGCAAUUAUGGGAAAUUGGAAGAAAGUCAUGAAAAGCUCUCAAGCUCUCAUGAUGAUCUUCUAGUAUCCCAUAGUGUGCUAAAGAUAGCUCAUGAGGCCAUGAUUGCUAAGGUAACAUCUAGUGAGCCUCAUGUGGAUACUAGCACUACUUCUAGUCAAAAUAGUAUAUUGCCAUGUGCUAGUCCUUGUAAUUCAUCUACUCACAAUGUUGGUACAUCUUGUGAUGAAUUGCUUUCCUUGCCUUGUUGCUCUAAAGAUGAAGCUUAUACUUCCUCUAGUACUUGUGUUGAGACUAACCAUGUAGAGGAAAUAAAAGAGCUCAAGGCCCAAGUCACUUCUUUGAAGAAAGACUUGGAAAAGUGUCAUGAAGGAAAAUUCACACUCAACAAUAUCUUGAGUGUGCAAAAAUCCCCCAAUGACAAAGGUGGACUUGGAUUCAACUCCAACAAGAAGAAUAAGUCCAAGAUCAACAAGAAGAAGGGCCAAAAACAAGACAAGAAUUCGGCCAAGAUUAUUUGCUUCAAGUGCAAAAUUGAAGGGCAUCAUGUUAGAUCUUGCCCAUUGAAUAAGAAGGCUAUUAGUGACAAGCAACAAGGGAAGCGGCUACAAGUGCAUUCUCAUGCUCAACCUCAAGUUGAAGAAAGGCCUCUUCCCAAGAAGAGUCAAGCUAAUGCUUCUCAAGUUGAGAAAUCAAGUGAGAAGAAAGUGAAGAGUAGACGUUGCUACUUAUGUCGUGAGAAAGGUCACGUCGCUUCUUCAUGCACUAGUGGUAACUUAUCCAACCCAAUUAUUAUUGAUGAUAUCUAUUCUCUUGGGAAGGAUAAGGUUGGCAAUGUGUUUGCCAAGUUUGUUGGUACUCAAAGUGGUGUCAAGAAAAGAACCAUUUGGGUAGCCAAGCCUAUUGUGACUAACCUCUUAGGACCCAACUUGGUUGGGGACCAACAAGCUCAAACUUGAUCAAUAGGUGUUUUUGGAGGUCAUCGGAAACUUGGCUACAUUCUGAAGAAUUAAGGGGACUUCAUCUUUCUUGUUGUCUCAAGCCAAGUCCAUUGGGUUGUCAAGUUUCUAUCUUAUAUCCAAUGUGCCUCCUUGCGGUAACUUGUACUUAAAUUGUUUACAUUGAAAGUUACUUGCCCCUUUGCAUGUUUUGGUUUUGUUCCUUGCAUGUGUUUGUAUAUGUUGUGCUUCCAACUUGCUUAUCUUGAGCAAUCAAGUAUGUGUGUGUUGGUUUGCACAUCAUGUACAUGUGCGUCGUGCGUUGAGCCUUUUUUGCUUCUUGUUUGUAUCCUAGUUGGUGUUGGGGAACGUAGUAAUUUCAAAAAAAAAUCCUACGCACACGCAAGAUCAUGGUGAUGGUAUAGCAACGAGAGGGGAGAGUGUUCGUCCACGUACCCUCGUAGACCGUAAGCGGAAGCGUUAUGACAACACGGUUGAUGUAGUCGUACGUCUUCACGAAUCGACCGAUCCAAGUACCGAACGUACGGCACCUCCGUGUUCAGCACACGUCCAGCUCGAUGACGUCCCCCGGACUCCAAUCCAGCGAAGUGUCGGGGAUGAGUUCCGUCAGCACGACGGCGUGGUGACGAUGAUGAUGUUCUACAGGCGCAGGGCUUCGCCUAAACUCCGCGACGAUAUGACCGAGGUGGAAUAUGGUGGAGGGGGGCACCGCACACGGCUAAGGAACGAUCCGUAGAUCAACUUGUGUGUCUAUGGGGUGCCCCCCUCCCCCGUAUAUAAAGGGGGAGAGGAGGAGGGGGCCGGCCUAAGGGGAGGCGCGCCCUAGGAGGGGGAAACCUACUCCAAGUAGGUUUGCCCCCUCCCUUUNNNNNNNNNNNNNNNNNNNNNNNNNNNNNNNNNNNNNNNNNNNNNNNNNNNNNNNNNNNNNNNNNNNNNNNNNNNNNNNNNNNNNNNNNNNNNNNNNNNNNNNNNNNNNNNNNNNNNNNNNNNNNNNNNNNNNNNNNNNNNNNNNNNNNNNNNNNNNNNNNNNNNNNNNNNNNNNNNNNNNNNNNNNNNNNNNNNNNNNNNNNNNNNNNNNNNNNNNNNNNNNNNNNNNNNNNNNNNNNNNNNNNNNNNNNNNNNNNNNNNNNNNNNNNNNNNNNNNNNNNNNNNNNNNNNNNNNNNNNNNNNNNNNNNNNNNNNNNNNNNNNNNNNNNNNNNNNNNNNNNNNNNNNCUCUGGUACUCCGGUUUUUCUUCGAAAACACCCGGAACACUUCAGGUGUCCGAAUAUAGUCAUCCAAUAUAUCAAUCUUUAUGUAUCGACCAUUUCGAGACUCCUCGUCAUGUCCGUGAUCACAUCCGGGACUCUGAACAACCUUUGGUACAUCAAAACUUAUAAACUCAUAAUAAAACUAUCAUCGUAACGUUAAGCGUGCGGACCCUACGGGUUCGAGAACUAUGUAGACAUGACCUAGAACUAUUCUCGGUCAAUAACCAAUAGCGGAACCUGGAUGUUCAUAUUGGUUCCCACAUAUUCUACGAAGAUCUUUAUCGGUCAAACCGCAUAACAACAUACGUUGUUCCCUUUGUCAUUGGUAUGUUACUUGCCCGAGAUUCGAUCGUCGGUAUCCAAUACCUAGUUCAAUCUCGUUACCGGCAAGUCUCUUUACUCGUUCCGUAAUACAUCAUUUCAUAACUAACUCAUUAGUUACAAUGCUUGCAAGGCUUAGGUGAUGAGUAUUACCGAGAGGGCCCAGAGAUACCUCUCCGACAAUCGGAGUGACAAAACCUAAUCUCGAAUUAUGCCAACUCAACAUGUACCUUUGGAGACACCUGUAGAGCACCUUUAUAAUCACCCAGUUACGUUGUGAUGUUUGGUAUCACACAAAGUGUUCCUCCGGUAAACGGGAGUUGCAUAAUCUCAUAGUUAAAGGAACUUUGUAUAAGUCAUGAAGAAAGUAAUAGCAACAUACUAAACGAUCAAGUGCUAAGCUAACAGAUUGGGUCAAGUCAAUCACAUCAUUCUCCUAAUGAUGUGAUCCCAUUAAUCAAAUGACAACACAUGCCUAUGGUUAGGUAACAUAACCAUCUUUGAUCAAUGAGCUAGUUCAAGUAGAGGCAUACUAGUGACACUAUGUUUGUCUAUGUAUUCACACAUGUAUCAUGUUUCCGGUUAAUACAAUUCUAGCAUGAAUAAUAAACAUUUAUCAUGAUAUGAGGAAAUAAAUAAUAACUUUAUUAUUGCCUCUAGGGCAUAUUUCCUUCAGUCUCCCACUUGCACUAGAGUCAAUAAUCUAGAUUACAUAGUAAUGAUUCUAACACCCAUGGAGUCUUGGUGCUGAUCAUGUUUUGCUCGUGAGAGAGGCUUAGUCAACGGGUCUGCAACAUUCAGAUCCGUAUGUAUCUUGCAAAUCUCUAUGUCUCCCACUUGGACUUGGUCCCGAAUGGAAUUGAAGCGUCUCUUGAUGUGCUUGGUCCUCUUGUGAAAUCUGGAUUCCUUUGCCAAGGCAAUUGCACUAGUAUUGUCACAGAAGAUCUUCAUUGGUCCCGAUGCACUAGGUAUAACACCUAGAUUGGAAAUGAACUCCUUCAUCCAGACUCCUUCAUUUGCUGCUUCCGAAGCAGCUAUGUACUCCGCUUAACAUGUAGAUCCCGCCACGACGCUUUGUUUAGAACUGCACCAACUUACAGCUCCACCGUUUAAUAAAAACACGUAUCCGGUUUGCGAUUUAGAAUCGUCCGGAUCAGUGUCAAAGCUUGCAUCGACGUAACCAUUUACGACUAGCUCUUUGUCAUCUCCAUAUACGAGAAACAUAUCCUUAGUCCUUUUCAGGUAUUUCAGGAUGUUCUUGACCGCUGUCCAGUGACCCACUCCUGGAUUACUUUGGUACCUCCCUGCCAAACUAUAGCAAGGCACACAUCAGGUCUGGUACACAGCAUUGCAUACAUGAUAGAGCCUAUGGCUGAAGCAUAGGGAACUCCUUUCAUUUUCUCUCUAUCUUCUGCAGUGGUCGGGCAUUGAGUCUGACUCAACUUUAUACCUUGUAAUACAGGCAAGAAUCCUUUCUUUGCCUGAUCCAUAUUGAACCUCUUCAAUACUUUAUCAAGGUACGUGCUUUGUGAAAGUCCAAUCAAGCGUCUUGAUCUAUCUCUAUAGAUCUUAAUGCCCAAUAUGUAAGCAGCUUCACCGAGGUCUUUGAUUGAAAAACUUUUAUUCAAGUAUCCUUUUAUGCUAUCCAGAAAUUCUAUAUCAUUUCCAAUUAACAAUAUGUCAUCCACAUAUAAUAUUAGAAAUGCUACAGAGCUCCCACUCACUUUCUUGUAAAUACAGGCUUCUCCAAAAGUCUGUAUAAAACCAUAUGCUUUGAUCACACUAUCAAAGCGUUUAUUCCAACUCCGAGAGGCUUGCACCAGACCAUAGAUUGAUCGCUGGAGCUUGCACACUUUGUUAGCUCCUUUAGGAUCGACAAAACCUUCUGGUUGCAUCAUAUACAACUCUUCUUCUAGAAAUCCAUUCAGGAAUGCAGUUUUGACAUCCAUUUGCCAAAUUUCAUAAUCAUAAAAUGCGGCAAUCGCUAACAUGAUUCGGACAGACUUAAGCAUCGCUACGGGUGAGAAAGUCUCAUCGUAGUCAACCCCUUGAACUUGUCGAAAACCUUUUGCAACAAGUCGAGCUUUAUAGACAGUUACAUUACCGUCAGCGUCAGUCUUCUUCUUAAAGAUCCAUUUAUUCUCAAUGGCUUGCCGAUCAUCGGGCAAGUCAACCAAAGUCCAUACUUUGUUCUCAUACAUGGAUCCCAUCUCAGAUUUCAUGGCCUUUAGCCAUUUUGCGGAAUCUGGGCUCAUCAUCGCUUCCUCAUAGUUCGUAGGUUCAUCAUGGUCAAGUAACAUGACUUCCAGAACAGGAUUACCGUACCACUCUGGUGCGGAUCUUACUCUGGUAGACCUACGAGGUUCAGUAGACACUUGAUCUGAAGUUUCAUGAUCAAUAUCAUUAGCUUCCUCACUAAUUGGUGUAUUUGUCACAGGAACUGAUUUCUGUGAUGAACUACUUUCCAAUAAGGGAGCAGGUACAGUUACCUCAUCAAGUUCUACUUUCCUCCCACUCACUUCUUUCGAGAGAAACUCCUUCUCUAGAAAGGAUCCAUUCUUAGCAACGAAUGUCUUGCCUUCGGAUCUGUGAUAGAAGGUGUACCCAACAGUCUCUUUUGGGUAUCCUAUGAGGACACAUUUCUCCGAUUUGGGUUCGAGCUUAUCUGGUUGAAGUUUCUUCACAUAAGCAUCGCAGCCCCAAAUUUUAAGAAACGACAACUUUGGUUUCUUGCCAAACCACAGUUCAUAAGGCGUCAUCUCAACGGAUUUAGAUGGUGCCCUAUUUAUUGUGAAUGCAGCUGUCUCUAAAGCAUAACCCCAAAACAAUAGCGGUAAAUCAGUAAGAGACAUCAUAGAUCGCACCAUAUCUAGUAAAGUACGAUUACGACGUUCGGACACACCAUUUCUUUGUGGUGUUCCAGGUGACGUGAGUUGCGAAACUAUUCCGCAUUGUUUCAAAUGUAAACCAAACUCGUAACUCAAAUAUUCUCCUCCACGAUCAGAUCGUAGAAACUUUAUUUUCUUGUUACGAUGAUUUUCCACUUCACUCUGAAAUUCUUUGAACUUUUCAAAUGUUUCAGACUUAUACUUCAUUAAGUAGAUAUACCCAUAUAUGCUUAAAUCAUCUGUGAAGGUGAGAAAAUAACGAUAUCCGCCACGAGCUUCAACAUUCAUCGGACCACAUACAUCUGUAUGUAUGAUUUCCAACAAAUCUGUUGCUCUCUCCAUAGUACCGGAGAACGGUGUUUUAGUCAUCUUGUCCAUGAGGCACGGUUCGCAAGUACCAAGUGAUUCGUAAUCAAGUGAUUCCAAAAGUCCAUCAGUAUGGAGUUUCUUCAUGCGCUUUACACCGAUAUGACCUAAAUGGCAGUGCCACAAAUAAGUUGCACUAUCAUUAUUAACUCUGCAUCUUUUGGCUUCAACAUUAUGAAUAUGUGUAUCACCACUAUCGAGAUUCAAUAAAAAUAGACCACUCUUCAAGGGUGCAUGACCAUAAAAGAUAUUACUCAUAUAAAUAGAACAACCAUUAUUCUCUGAUUUAAAUGAAUAACCGUCUCGCAUCAAACAAGAUCCAGAUAUAAUGUUCAUGCUCAACGCUGGCACCAAAUAACAAUUAUUCAGGUCUAAAACUAAUCCCGAAGGUAGAUGUAAAGGUAGCGUGCCGACUGCGAUCACAACGACUUUGGAACCGUUUCCCACGCGCAUUGUCACCUCGUCGUUGGCCAGUGCUCGCUUAUUCCGUAGUCCCUGUUUCGAGUUGCAAAUAUUAGCAACAGAACCAGUAUCAAAUACCCAGGUGCUACUACGAGCUCUAGUUAGGUACACAUCAAUAACAUGUAUAUCACAUAUACCUUUGUUCACUUUGCCAUCCUUCUUAUCCGCCAAAUACUUGGGGCAGUUCCGCUUCCAGUGACCAGUCUGCUUGCAGUAGAAGCACUCAGUUUCAGGCUUAGGUCCAGACUUGGGUUUCUUCUCUUGAGCAUCAACUUGUUUGCUGUUCUUCUUGAAGUUCCCCUUCUUCUUCCCUUUGCCCUUUUUCUUGAAACUAGUGGUCUUGUUAACCAUCAACACUUGAUGCUCCGUCUUGAUUUCUACCUCCGCAGCCUUUAGCAUUGCGAAGAGCUCGGGAAUAGGCUUGUUCAUCCCUUGCAUAUUAUAGUUCAUCACAAAGCUCUUGUAGCUUGGUGGCAGUGAUUGGAGAAUUCUGUCAAUGACGCUAUCAUCCGGAAGAUUAACUCCCAGUUGAAUCAAGUGAUUAUUAUACCCAGACAUUUUGAGUAUAUGCUCAUUGACAGAACUAUUCUCCUCCAUCUUGCAGCUUUAGAACUUAUUGGAGACUUCAUAUCUCUCAAUCCGGGCAUUUGCUUGAAAUAUUAACUUCAACUCCUGGAACAUCUCAUAUGCUCCAUGACGUUCAAAACGUCGUUGAAGACCCGGUUCUAAGCCGUAAAGCAUGGCACACUAAACAAUAGAGUAGUCAUCAGCUUUGCUCUGCCAGACGUUCAUAACAUCUGGUGUUGCUCCUGCAGCAGGCCUGGCACGCAGCGGUGCUUCCAGGACGUAAUUCUUCUGUGCAGCAAUGAGGAUAAUCCUCAAGUUACGGACCCAGUCCGUGUAAUUGCUACCAUCAUCUUUCAACUUUGCUUUCUCAAGGAACGCAUUAAAAUUCAAUGGAACAACAGCACGAGCCAUCUAUCUACAACAAACAUAGACAAGCAAAAUACUAUCAGGUACUAAGUUCAUGAUAAAUUUAAGUUCAACUAAUCAUAUUACUCAAGAACUCCCACUUAGACAGACAUCUCUCUAGUCAUCUAAGUGAUCACGUGAUCCAAAUCAACUAAACCAUAACCGAUCAUCACGUGAGAUGGAGUAGUUUUCAAUGGUGAACAUCUUUAUGUUGAUCAUAUCUACUAUAUGAUUCACGCUUGACCUUUCGGUCUCUGUGUUCCGAGGCCAUAUCUGCAUAUGCUAGGCUCGUCAAGUUUAACCUGAGUAUUCUGCGUGUGCAAAAACGGGAUUGCACCCGUUGUAAAUGGACGUAGAGCUUAUCACACCCGAUCAUCACGUGGUGUCUGGGCACGACGAACUUUGGCAACGGUGCAUACUCAGGGAGAACACUUCUUGAUAAUUUUUUAGUGAGAGAUCAUCUUAAAAUGCUACCGUCAAUCAAAGCAAGAUAAGAUGCAUAAAGGAUAAACAUCACAUGCAAUCAAUAUAAGUGAUAUGAUAUGGCCAUCAUCAUUUUGUGCUUGUGAUCUCCAUCUUCGAAACACCGUCAUGAUCACCAUCGUCACCGGCGCGACACCUUGAUCUCCAUCGUAGCAUCGUUGUCGUUACGCCAUCUAUUGCUUCUACGACUAUCGCUACCGCUUAGUGAUAAAGUAAAGCAAUUACAGGGUGUUUGCAUUUCAUACAAUAAAGCGACAACCAUAUGGCUCCUGCCAGUUGCCGAUAACUUCGGUUACAAAACAUGAUCAUCUCAUACAAUAAAAUAUAGCAUCACAUCUUGACCAUAUCACAUCACAACAUGCCCUGCAAAAACAAGUUAGACGUCCUCUACUUUGUUGUUGCAAAUUUUACGUGGCUGCUACGGGCUGAGCAAGAACCGUUCUUACCUACGCAUCAAAAACCACAAUGAUAAUUCAUCAAGUUGGUGUUGUUUUAACCUUCGCAAGGACCGGGCGUAGUCACACUCGAUUCAGCUAAAGUGAGAGAGACAGACACCCGCCAGCCACCUUUAAGCACGAGUGCUCGUAACGGUGAAACCAGUCUCGCGUAAGCGUACGCGUAAUGUCGGUCCGGGCCGCUUCAUCUCACAAUACCGCCGAACCAAAGUAUGACAUGCUGGUAAGCAGUAUGACUUGUAUCGCACACAACUCACUUGUGUUCUACUCGUGCAUAUAACAUCAACGCAUAAAACCUAGGCUCGGAUGCCACUGUUGGGGAACGUAGUAAUUUCAAAAAAAAAUCCUACGCACACGCAAGAUCAUGGUGAUGGUAUAGCAACGAGAGGGGAGAGUGUUCGUCCACGUACCCUCGUAGACCGUAAGCGGAAGCAUUAUGACAACGCGGUUGAUGUAGUCGUACGUCUUCACGAAUCGACCGAUCCAAGUACCGAACGUACGACACCUUCGUGUUCAGCACACGUCCAGCUCGAUGACGUCCCCCGGACUCCAAUCCAGCGAAGUGUCGGGGAUGAGUUCCGUCAGCACGACGGCGUGGUGACGAUGAUGAUGUUCUACCGGCGCAGGGCUUCGCCUAAACUCCGCGACGAUAUGAACGAGGUGGAAUAUGGUGGAGGGGGGCACCGCACACGGCUAAGGAACGAUCCGUAGAUCAACUUGUGUGUCUAUGGGGUGCCCCCCUCCCUCGUAUAUAAAGGGGGAGAGAAGGAGGGGGCCGGCCUAAGGGGAGGCGCGCCCUAGGAGGGGGAAACCUACUCCAAGUAGGUUUGCCCCCUUCCUUUCCUAUUCCAAGGAGGGGGAAGGAAGGAGUGGGAGAGGGGCAAGGCAAGGGGGGCGCCGCCCCCCCCCCCUUCCUUGUCCUAUUCGGACUCAAGGGGAGGGGGCGCGCCUCUUGCCCUGGCCAGCCCCUCUCUCUCUCCACUAGGGCCCAUCAAGGCCCAUUACUUCCCGGGGGGGGGGGUUCCGGUAACCCUCUGGUACUCCGGUUUUUCUUCGAAAACACCCGGAACACUUCAGGUGUCCGAAUAUAGUCAUCCAAUAUAUCAAUCUUUAUGUAUCGACCAUUUCGAGACUCCUCGUCAUGUCCGUGAUCACAUCCGGGACUCCGAACAACCUUCGGUACAUCAAAACUUAUAAACUCAUAAUAAAACUAUCAUCGUAACGUUAAGCGUGCGGACCCUACGGGUUCGAGAACUAUGUAGACAUGACCUAGAACUAUUCUUGGUCAAUAACCAAUAGCGGAACCUGGAUGUUCAUAUUGGUUCCCACAUAUUCUACGAAGAUCUUUAUCGGUCAAACCGCAUAACAACAUACGUUGUUCCCUUUGUCAUCGGUAUGUUACUUGCCCGAGAUUCGAUCGUCGGUAUCCAAUACCUAGUUCAAUCUCGUUACCGGCAAGUCUCUUUACUCGUUCCGUAAUACAUCAUUUCAUAACUAACUCAUUAGUUACAAUGCUUGCAAGGCUUAGGUGAUGAGUAUUACCGAGAGGGCCCAGAGAUACUUCUCCGACAAUCGGAGUGACAAAACCUAAUCUCGAAUUAUGCCAACUCAACAUGUACCUUUGGAGACACCUGUAGAGCACCUUUAUAAUCACCCAGUUACGUUGUGACGUUUGGUAGCACAGAAAGUGUUCCUCCGGUAAACAGGAGUUGCAUAAUCUCAUAGUUAAAGGAACUUUGUAUAAGUCAUGAAGAAAGCAAUAGCAACAUACUAAACGAUUAAGUGCUAAGCUAACGGAUUGGGUCAAGUCAAUCACAUCAUUCUCCUAAUGAUGUGAUUCCAUUAAUCAAAUGACAACACAUGCCUAUGGUUAGGAAACAUAACCAUCUUUGAUCAAUGAGCUAGUUCAAGUAGAGGCAUACUGGUGACACUAUGUUUGUCUAUGUAUUCACACAUGUAUCAUGUUUCCGGUUAAUACAAUUCUAGCAUGAAUAAUAAACAUUUAUCAUGAUAUGAGGAAAUAAAUAAUAACUUUAUUAUUGCCUCUAGGGCAUAUUUCCUUCAGUUGGAUCAUGUGAGAGAUUAAUGGAACAUCCCAUUUUGGGGGAGUGAUGUGCUUUGUGCACCUCACAAUCCUAUAAAUGUGUGUACAUGAGGAAUACCAUCUAGUAUUGAUAUUACAAGAUUAUCUAGUCGCUUGGUGGUAUAUCUCUCAUGAGAUAUUCGAAUUCUAAAAAUUCCAUUGAUUAUCUCUUGUUGGUUCCUCUUAUUGCCUCUUGUUAAAGUUCUUUUUGGUAUCACAUUAUGGGGGAGUAAUAUGUUAUGUGCAUAUUACAAGCCUAUAAAAUGUGUACAUUUGAGAUAUUGUCACCUAGAAUUGAUAUUGUAAAUUAUCUUGUUCCUAGGUGGCAUGUUAGCUCUACAAGUGGCAAUUUCCUUGUGUGUGUUGUGAAGAUGAUGUUGGAUAUCCUUGUUAUCUACCACCGGGAACUAUUUCCAAAUACUUCUUGUCUUUGGACAAUUGGUAGUCACUUAUGUGUGGUAGAAUUUAUUGAUCAUCUUUACAUUGGCUUUUGUUUUUAUUUGCCUUUUCUCUUGCCAAGGUUUGUGUCAACUCCCGUUGUCUUCCAUACCACUUGUGGAUCUUGUUAAUUUCUUGUUCUUGUCUAGUGUUUUCUAGAUAUAGUGAAAGUGGUGAUCCACCUUGUGCAUUUUGUAUUCAAAAGCAAAUUCUCUAUAGUGCACAACUCGUGGGGGAGCUAUCCUAUUUUCUUUAGAACACUCUUCUUGUGAUCCUUAUCAAGUGUGUGUGUUGGUGGAAGGCAAGCCGUUUUCCUUUGGUACCUUGUGCCAUCAUGAAACUUUGUUGAGAGCUUGGUUUGUUUGGAACCAUCCUCUCUUUGGGAGUUUGACAUCUUUAAUUUAGUGUGUAUCAAUGGAUAUCUCAUUCCUUGAUGUAUCUUUAAUGAUAUAUUCCAAGUGAUGAUUUCUCCAUUUGGUAUCCUUUUCACUUGGCAUUUCUUUGUCUUCUGGUUUCGGGUUUUGAAAGUCUUGAGCAUGCAUGUUUACUUCAUGUAUUUUAUUUGGCUUGCUUUCUUUCUUUAACUCAAUAUAUAGGGGAAACUCCACCUAGUCUCAAUUUUGAUGAGAUGUGCAUGAAAUUCAUUUUCAUAUCUAUAUGCACAUAUAUAUGUGGAGUUUGUCCUAUGUAUUGGUGUUUCUAACUAUUUGGUCCCGAUAAGUUUGGGUACCAUUUAGUUUGUGUUGUUCUUCUAGGAACAUAUGGAGAUGCAUUGGAUGCUCGGCUCACUCACAAGGAAGGUGUUGUCACCAUGUGCAUAUUGGAGUCAAGCUAGGAUGAUCAAUGAACUACUUUUUACCUUCAAUUGGUAUCUACUACAUCCUUCCAAUGCUAUCUCGGUAACAAGUAUCAUCAUCUACUACAUGCACACAUUAUUGCAUCAAUCGUGUGUAGAUUGUAUCAUGGCAUGUUAUUCUUUCUUUCUUGUGGUACUUGUUUCCUUUCUCAAAGCAUCCCAACAAUGAUCUCUUGUUGCUAGUUGUGAUGUCUUUGAUGGUUGUGUGGUAGGAAUUCAUUUAUAUACAAUAAGACCAUAUCUAGCCUUGGGCUAUGCUUCCAAGCACAUAUCUUAUUGGUAUAUGUAUGACUUCCUUUUGGAUAUCUUGUUCCUUCGUGUGUAACUAUUUCGGGUGUACAUCCUUCUUUGUAGAUAUAUAUCCUCAUGAUUUCGUCUACCUAGACCCUUAUACACUUGAGAGAAAUUACAUCUUUAGAUGAUUUCCUUUCUUUCACGUCCACCUUGUCUUUCUUAUGUUAUUUCUUUGGUGGCUCUGUGAAAGCUUUUGCAUUGAGUGUGUGUCUUAUCUCGUUGCAUCUUGAUGCACUCUUGUGUGGUGAAGAUUAUUUUCCUCAUGCUUGUCUUGACGAGGCUUUUGCCAUCUUAAUUGGUAUCCCCUGUCUUGAUGAUGCUUAUGUUUUCUAUCUUCACCUUGGGUUGUCACAAGUGUUGGUUAUUCAUUUUGCAUAUUUAGUGUUCUUGUGAACCCAUUUGCUUAGUUGUGUGUGAGAAUGAAAGGCUUUGCAUCGUGUGCCUCAUUCUUUCAAGACUAUGUUGAUGCUUAAUGAUCAUCCUAAUUUUAGUCUUCUCAAGUGCUUCGGCAUGACUCACACACAUCAUUUUUGUUGAGCCUAUUCUUAAGUUGCCUCUUUUACAUGUUGCUCAACCAUGUGUUUGUUGCAAGUGCUAGGCUUAGUUUCCUUUAUGCUCACUUGCACUUGUUGUAUGUUUCUAUUGAUUUUGGGGGAGCUAUGAUCCUAUUUUGUGCACUUUGUAUUCAAAUACAAAAAUUCUUAUGUGUGCACAAAUCAUGGGGAGCUUCUCUAGUUUCUUUAGAACACUCCUUCGCUCAUACCAUAUUAUCCUUCAUUCAUGUGGCUCAUAGGAUCUUUGGUCUAGUUGUUUCAGUUGAUAUCCUUUGAUUGCUUGCUUCAAUAGGUAUCUUUUGAUUGCUCGAUUUCUUGUUUCUCUCUUUGUUAUGUCUUUGUGGCAUAUCAUUCUUUUGCGAUCUUUGGGCCUCAAUAUAGUUUGUCUUCCUCCAAGUAUUUGCCAUUGGAUAUGUGUAUUGCAUUCCACUCUUUUUUUGAGAGAUACACAAUUUAUAGAGGAACACUCUUUAUAUUGGCCUUCUAAGCUUUUCACCCAUUUUGGCAAUCGAUGCCAAUGGGGGAGGAGUGUCAGAGAGUUUUGUGGAGAAGUCUUCAGAGUUUUCUCCUUGCUUUGGUUUUGGUCCUAAGCAUUUGCAUCUCAUUCUUCUGCAUCAUUGGUUGUUGCAUUGCAUUGUGAUGCAUAACUCCUUGUAUAAACUCUCUUGAAAGUGAUUGUCAUCAAUUACCAAAAUGGGGGAGAUUGAAAGAACAUGCGGUGCCCCCAUGUUUGGUUUUGGUAAUUGAUGACAAUCUCUAUGGACUAAUGGUUGCCUUGAGUUAUAUUUGAAGGUUUUGUCCAUAGGCUUUCCUUGAAGUCCAUGUGUUGGUUUCAAGGAGUUUAUGAGUUAACCAAGGUGCUAUUAAGGAAUUAUCCAAAGAUUCGUCAUGUGAGUGUUGAGCGUAUUGCAAGCAUGUCUUGAAGAAGAAGAUUGUGUGAUCAUUCAUGUUUACCUUCAAGACAUCAUCCAAAUUAAGAGAGUUGGAAAGAUUCAAGGUUGAUCAAGACUAAGUCAAGAGUGAAUCAAGUUGAUCAACUCACAAAGCGUAGAAGAUGUACCAAGAGGGAUCAAGUGAUCCCAUGCUAUGGUAAGCAUUGUCCAUUGCACUUUGUGUACUAACCCAUGGUCUAUGUGAGAGUUCCAUGUGGGGUUAGGUACGUGUCCAUGGGCUUGCGUCAAGAGGAAGAUAUCAUACAACCCAUGGAAAGGAUGACAUCAAGUGGUGAUCGUCAUCAAGAUUGCCGUGUGCAAGUUCAAGUGGAGCAUCACGAAGAGAUCAAGUGCUUGAAUCUUGCCAUCCAUUGUGGUGUCAAUGGACUUGUGAAGAUGUGUCGAAGAGUGGCUCACCCAUAGUGGACUAUGGGGGAGCAAUCAUCUAGUCUUCAUCGAGCCAACGCAAUCAAGAAAGGUGGUCCAACUUGAGGGAGUCAAGAUCGUCAUCAUCUAGCUCAAGUGGACCAUGUGGAAGGCAAAGGUUUGUCCCUUGAUAGUUUUUCUAUUUUACCGGUCUCGUGGUGGUAGUUGGGAGACCGGGCUAUAGGAUCGUUUGUCGUACUAUCAAGGGGGGCUCUCAAGUUGGUGGCUUGAUCGUAUCGUUAGUAGAGAGCUCAAACCAUUGCAUCCUUGCAUCAUGUUACUUGGUUCUUGUUUAGUUCUCUUUGUGAGUCUUAGAGCUUAUGGUCAUCUUGAUGACAAGCUUGAGUUCAUCGAAAACGGAGUUCGCAUGCGUCUUCUAUGAUGUUUUCGGUGUUGGAGGUUUUAUCGGUCUUAUCCAAGGAAGGGUUCUCACCUUUUUCUUAUGGGCCUUUUCUAUUCUGCUUCUUAUUGAUAUUUAUUUCAAGAUUGUGUUAGCCCUUGUCGCUAGCUUUCCGACAAACUUGGUUUCAUCGAAUUCGGAGUCUGUUUGCAAAAGUUGUGGCAGUUUUGGUGUUCUAAAAAGGUUGCAGCGGUAGUACCGCGAAUUGGAGCGGAUGUAAUUUUUUACUACCGCUCCAGAGCGGUACUACCGUGGCUCCUACAGCGGUAGUACCGCUCCGGACCAAAAAACUCGUCCCAAGUCCUGCGGAGGUAGGUACGGAAGUAUUUUUUUUUGUACCGCAAGCAGUAGUACCGUGAUCCCUAGUGGUAGUACCGUGAGGACGAGCGGUAGUACCGCUCUGUGCGGGUUGUGAGCAUAACGGUUGGAUUUUCCCCCACCUAUAAAAGGGGGUCUUCUUCCCCAUUGAACCUUAUCCUUUGAGCUCGUGUUCUUCCCCCAUUGUUGACCUUCUUCGAGCUUGCUAACUCUCAAUCCCUCCAUGGAUUCUUGCUAGUUUUUGAGGGAAAAGAGAGAGGAGAUCUAGAUCCACAUUUCCACCAAUCACUUUCUCCUUUUUGUGAGGGGAACCCUUUGGAUCUAGAUCUUGGAGUUCUUCGUGUUCUUCUUUCGUUCUUCCUCUCAUUUUCCUCCCUAGCAUUAGUUGCUUUGGUGGGAUUUGGAAGAGAAGGACUUGGGCACUCCGUGUGCCCUUGCAUUGCAUUUGGUGCAUCGGUUUGAGUUCUCCAUGGUGAUACGUGGAAGUGAAGUUUGAGAAGCUUAUUACCCUUGGGUGCUUGGUGCCCUUGAGCUUGUUCCUCUUGGGUGCUUGGGCGCCCUAGAUGGUUGGUGGUGUUCGGAGCUCAAUCAUUGUGGUGUAAAGCUCUGGGCAAGCGUCGGGGUCUCCAAUUAGGUUGUGGAGAUCGCCCUGAGCAUUUUAACGGGUUCCGGUGACCGCCCCCAAGGGUUGCCAAAGUGUACGGGUUCGGUGACCACCCCCAAGGGUUGCCAUUUGUACGGGUUCGGUGACCGCCCUCAAGGGUCCCUUAGUGGAAUCACGGCAUCUUGCAUUGUGCGAGGGCGUGAGAAGAUUACGGUGGCCCUAGUGUCUUCUUGGGGAGCAUUGUGCCUCCACACCGCUCCAAACGGAGAUUAGCAUCCGCAAGGGUGUGAACUUCGGGAUACAUCGUCGUCUCCGCGUGCCUCGGUUAUCUCUUACCCGAGCCCUUUACUUAUGCACUUUACUUUGUGAUAGCCAUAUUGUUCUUUGUCAUAUAUCUUGCUAUCACAUAGUUGCUUAUCUUGCUUAGCAUAAGUUGUUGGUGCACAUAGGUGAGCCUAGUUGUUUUAGGUUUUGUGCUUGACAAAUUAACCGUUAGGUUUAUUCCGCAUUUGUUCAAGCCUAAACCGUAAUUAUUUUAAAGCGCCUAUUCACCCCCCUCUAGGCGACAUCCUCGAUCUUUCAGAAAGGUUAUUAGUCAACGGGUCUGAAUCUUUCAGAUCCGUAUGUGCUUUACAAAUCUCUAUGUCAUAUUCUAGAUGCAGCUACCACGCGCUACUUGGAGCUAUUCCAAAUAACUGCUCUACUAUACGAAUCCGGUUCACUACUCAGAGUCAUCCGGAUUAGUGUCAAAGUUUGCAUCGGCGUAACCCUUUACGACGAACUCUUUUACCACCUCCAUAAUCGAGAAAAUUCCUUAGUCCACCAGUUACUAAGGAUAACUAUGACAGCUAUCAUGUGAUUCAUUCCUAGAUCACUCUUGUACCCCUUGACUGACUCAUGGCAAGGCACACUUUAGCUGCGGUACACAACAUAGCAUAAUGUAGAGCCUACGUCUAAAGCAUAGGGGACGACCUUCGUCCUUUCUCUCUCUUCUAUCGUGGUCAGGUCUUGAGUCUUACUCAAUACUCACACCUUAUAACAUAGACAAGAACUCAUUCUUUGUCGAUCUAUUUUGAACUCCUUCAAAAUCUUGUCACGGUAUGUAUUCAUUUGAAAGUACUAUUAAGCGUUUUUGAUCUAUCCUUAUAGAUCUUGAUGCUCAAUGUUCAAGUAGCUUAAUCCAUGUUUUCCAUUGAAAAACACUUUUCAAAUAACCCUAUAUGCUUUCCAGAAAUUCUACAUCAUUUCUCAUCAACAAUAUGUUAACAACAUAUACUCAUCAGAAAUUCUAUAGUGCUCCCACUCACUUCUUUGGAAAUACAAGUUUCUCAUAAACUUUGUAUAAACCCAAAAUAUUUGAUCAUCUCAUAAAAGCGUACAUUCCAACUCCGAGAUGCUUACUCCAGUCCUUAGAAGGAUUGCUGGAGCUUUGCAUACUUGUUAGCAUCUUUUAGGAUUGACAAAACCUUCUGGUUGUAUCACAUACAACCUUUCCUCAAAAAAAGUCAAGGAAACAAUGUUUUGACAUCCUAUCUGCAAGAUUUCAUAAAUAAUGCAAUAACUGCUAAUAUAAUUCCAACAGACUCUUAGCAUCGCUACGAGUGAGAAAGUCUCAUCGUAGUUAACUCCUUGAACUUGUCAGAAAACAUCUUAACGACAAGUCGAGCUUUCUUAAUGGUGAUACUUACCAUCAUUGUCCGUCUUACGACCAUCAAGUAGUUCUUCCAAAGUAUAUACUUUGUUUUCAUACAUGGAUCCUCUCGGAUUUUAUGGCCUCGAGCCAUUCGUUGGAAUCCGGGCCCACCAUCGCUUCUCCAUAGCUCGUAUGUUCAUUGUUGUCUAGCAACAUGACUUCCAAGAUAGGAUUACCGUACCAUUCUAAAGUAGUACGCAUCCUUGUCGACCUGCGAGGUUUGGUAGUGACUUGAUCCGAAGUUUCAUGAUCACUAUCAUUAGCUUCCACUUCAAUUGGUGUAGGCGCCAUAGGAACAACUUUCUGUGCCCUGCUACACACUAGUUGAAGUGACGGUUCAAUAACCUCAUCAAGUCUCCACCAUCCUCCCACUCAAUUCUUUCGAGAGAAACUUUUCCUCGAGAAAGGACCCGUUUCUAGAAACAAUCACUUUUGCUUCCGGAUCUGAAAUAGGAGGUAUACCCAACUGUUUUGGAUGUCCUAUGCAGAUGCAUUUAUCCGCUUUGGGUUCGAGCUUAUCAGGCUAAAACUUUUCACAUAAGCGUCGCAGCCCCAAACUUUUGAGAAACGACAACUUAGGUUUCUCUAAACCAUAGUUCAUACAGUGUCAUCUCAACGGAAUUACGUGGUGCCCUAUUUAAAGUGAAUGUGGUUGUCUCUAAUGCCUAACCCAUAAACGAUAGUGGUAAUUCGAUAAGAGACAUCAUGGUAUGCACCAUAUCCAAUAGUGUGCAGUUAUGAUGUUCGGACACACCAUCACACUAUGGUGUUCCAGGCGGUAUUAGUUGUGAAACAAUUUCCACAAUGUCUUAAUUGUGUACCAAACUCGCAACUCAGAUAUUCAUCUCUAUGAUCAUAUCAUAGACAUUUUAUCCUCUUGUCACGAAGAUCUUCAACUUCACUCUAAAAUUAUUUGAACCUUUCAAUAAUUCAGACUUGUAUUUCAUCAAGUAAAUAUACUCAGCAUCUACUCAAAUUAUUUGUGAAGUAAGAGCAUAACGAUAUUCACUGUGUGCCUCAGCACUCAUUGGAUUGCACACAUCAAAUGUAUUACUUCCAACAAGUUGCUCUCUUGUUCCAUCUCACUGAAAACAAGGCCUUUCAGUCAUCUUGCCCAUGUGGUAUGAUUUGCAUGUCUCAAGUGAUUCAAAAUCAAGUGAGUCCAAACGAUCCAUCUGCAUGGAGUUUCUUCAUGCGUAUAUACCAAUAGACAUGGUUCGCAUGUCUCAAACUUUUCAAAAACGAGUGAGUCCAAAGAUCCAUCAACAUGGAGCUUCUUCAUGCGUUUUAUACUAAUAUGACUCAAAUGGCAGUGCCACAAGUAGGUGGUACUAUCAUUACUAUAUUAUAUCUUUUGGCAUGAACAUGUGUAUCACUACGAUCGAGAUUCAGUAAACCAUUCAUUUUAGGUGCAUGACCAUUGAAGGUAUUAUUCAAAUAAACAGAGUAACCAUUAUUCUCCUUAAAUGAAUAACUUUAUUGCGAUAAACAUAAUUCAAUCAUGUCUAUGCUCAACGCAAACACCAAAUAACAAUUAUUUAGGUUUAACACCAAUCCCGAUGGUAGAGGGAGCGUGUGAUGUUUGAUAACAUCAACCUUGGAAAUACUUCCAACACAUAUCGUCACCUCACCUUUAGCUAGUCUCCGUUUAUUUCAUAGCUUUUUAUUUUUACUUACUAACACUUAGCAACCGAACCGGUAUCUAAUACCCUGGUGCUACUAGGAGUACUAGUAAAGUACACAUUAAUAUAAUGUAUAUCAAUAUACUUCUCUCGACCUUGCCAGUCUUCUCAUCUACCAAGUAUCUAGGGUAGUUCUGCUUCAGUGACCGUUCCCCUCAUUACAGAAGCACUUAGUCUCGGAUUUGGGUUCAACCUUGGGUUUCUUCACUAGAGCAACAACUGAUUUGUCGUUUCAUGAAGUAUCCCUUCUAGCCCUUGCCCUUCUUGAAACUAGUGGUUUUACUAACCAUCAACAAUUGAUGCUCCUACUUGAUUUCUACUUUCGCGGUGUCAAACAUCGUGAAUAGCUCAAGGAUCAUCAUAUCUAUCCCUGAUAUGUUAUAGUUCAUCACGAAGCUCUAGUAGCUUGGUGGCAGUGACUUUGGAGAACCAUCACUAUCUCAUAUGGAAGAUUAACUCCUACUUGAUUCAAGUGAUUGUAGUACUUAGACAAUCUGAGCACAUGAUCAACGAUUGAGCUUUUCUCCCUUAGUUUUCAGGCUAAGAAACUUGUCAGAGCUCUCACACCUCUUGACGUGGGCACGAGUCUGAAAUCCCAAUUUCAGCUCUUGGAACAUCUCAUAUGUUCCGUGACGUUUCCAAAAAUGUCUUCGGUGCCUCAAUUCUAAGCCGUUUAACAUUACGCACAGAGCUAUCACGUAGUCAUCAAAAACGUGUAUGUCAGAUGUUCGCAACAUCCACAAACGACGCUUGAGGUUCAGCACACUGAGUGGUGCAUUAAGGACAUGAUCCUUUUGCGCAGCAAUGAGGACAAUCCUCAGUUUACGGACCCAAUCCGCAUAAUUGCUACUGUCAACUCUCAACUAAAUUUUCUCUAGGAACAUAUCUAAAAUAGUAGAACUAAAGCGUAAGCUACGACAUAAUUUGCAAAGACCUUUUGACUAAGUUCAUGAUAAUUAAGUUCAUCUGAUUAUUUAAUGAACUCCCACUUAGAUAGACAUCCCUCUAGUCAUCUAAGUGAUACAUGAUCCGAGUCAACUAGGCCGUGUCUGAUCAUCACGUGAGACGGACUAGUCAUCAUCGGUGAACAUCUUCAUGUUGAUCGUAUCUACUAUACGACUCAUGUUCGACCUUUCGGUCUCUUGUGUUCCGAGGCCAUGUCUGUACAUGCUAGGCUCGUCAAGUCAACCUAAGUGUUCCCGUGUGUAAAUCUGGCUUACAACCGUUGUAUGCGAAUGUUAGAAUCUAUCACACCCGAUCAUCACGUGGUGCUUCGAAACAAUGAACUUUCGCAAGGGUGCACAGUUAGAGGGAACACUUUCUUGAAAUUUUAGUGAGGGAUCAUCUUAUUUAUGCUACCGUCGUUCUAAGCAAAUAAGAUGUAAACAUGACAAACACAUGCAAAUCAUAAAGUGACAUGAUAUGGCCAAUAUCAUUUUGCGUCUUUGAUCUUCAUAUUUGAGGCGCGGCAUGAUCACCUUCGUCAUCGGCAUGACACCAUGAUCUCCAUCAUCAUGAUCCCCAUCAUCGUGUCUUCAUGAAGUUGUCUCGCCAACUAUUACUUCUACUACUAUGGCUAACAGUUAGCAAUAAAGUAAAGUAAUUACAUGGCGUUUUCAAUGACACGUAGGUCAUACAAUAAAUUAAGACAACUCCUAUGGCUCAUGCCGGUUGUCAUACUCAUCGACAUGCAAGUCGUGAUUCCUAUUACAAGAACAUGAUCAAUCCCAUACAUCACAUAUAUCAUUCAUCACAUUCUUUUGGCCAUAUCACAUCACAUAGCAUACCCUGCAAAAACAAGUUAGACGUCCUCUAAUUGUUGUUGCAUGUUUUACGUGGCUGCUAUGGGUUUCUAGCAAGAACGUUUCUUACCUACGCAAAAGCCACAACAGUGAUAUGCCAAUUGCUAUUUAUCCUUCAUAAGGACCCUUUUCAUCGAAUCCGAUCCGACUAAAGUGGGAGACACUGUCACCCGCUAGCCACCUUAUGCAACAAGUGCAUGUCAGUCGGUGGAACCUAUCUCACGUAAGCGUACGUGUAAGGUCAGUCCGGGCCGCUUCAUCCCACAAUGCCGCCGAACCAAGAUAGGACUAGUAAUGGUAAGCAAAUUGAACAAACCAUCGCCCACAACUACUUGUGUUCUACUCGUGCAUAGAAUCUAUGCAUAGACCUAGCUCAUGAUGCCACUGUUGGGGAACAUAGCAAUAAUUCAAAAUUUUCUACGCAUCACCAAGAUCAAUCUAUGGAGAUUAUAGCAACAAGAGAGGGAGAGGAUGAGUGUAUCUUCAUACCCUUGAAGAUCGUGAUGCGAAAGCGUUACAAGAACGCGGUUGGUGGCGUGGUCGAUUCCGAUCUAAGCGCCGAACGGACGGCGCCUUCGCGUUCAACACACCUACAGACCGGGGAUGUCUCCUCCUUAUUGAUCCAGCAAGGGGAGAGGAGAAGUUGAGGGAAAACUCCAGCAGCACGACGGCGUGGUGGCGAUGGAGCUCGUGGUUCUCCGGCAGAGCUUCGCUAAGCACUACGGAGGAGGAGGAGGUGUUGGAGGAGGAGAGGGCUGCGCCAGGGAAGGGGGUGCGGCUGCCCUCUCUCUCCCUCACUAUAUAUAGGGGGAAGGGGGAGGAGGAGGUGCCCUAGGGUUUCCCUAGGGAAGGGGCGGCGGCCACACGGGAAACCCUAGAUGGGUUUGGGCGCCCCCACCCCUAGGAAACUUGCCCCCCAAGCCGGGAGGGAUGGCUGCCCUAGGGGAGGUGCCCCCACCUCUCCAAGAUACGUGAGAUGGGGUGGGAGGGGAGCACAAUCCCUUAGUGGGCUUAUGUGCCCCAUCCCCUUGGCCCAUAAGGCCCCUCAACGCUUGUCGGGGCCUCCGAAUCCCCUUUCGGACACGCUGGUCGUCACCCGGUACCCCCGGAACAAUUCCGGACUCCAAUACCCUUCUUCGAAUAUAUCAAUCUUCACCUCCGGACCACUCCGGAGUUCAUCGUCACGUUCGGGAUCUCAUUCGGAACUCCGAACAACCUUCGGUAACCACAUACUAUUUCCCAUAACAACUCUAGCGUCACCGAACCUUAAGUGUGUAGACCCUACGGGUUCAGGAACCAUGCAUACAUGACUGAGACGUUCUCCGACCAAUAACCAACAGCGGGAUCUGGAUACCCAUGUUGGCUCCCACAUGUUCCACGAUGAUUUCAUUGGAUGAACCACGAUGUCGGGGAUUCAAUCAAUCCCGUAUACAAUUCCCUUUGUCAAUCGGUAUGUUACUUGCCCGAGAUUCGAUCGUCGGUAUCCCAAUACCUCAUUCAAUCUCGUUACCGGCAAGUCACUUUACUCGUUCUGUAAUGCAUGAUCUCGUGACUAACUACUUAGUCACAUUGAGCUCAUUAUGAUGAUGCAUUACCGAGUGGGCCCAGAGAUACCUCUCCGUCAUACGGAGUGACAAAUCCCAGUCUCGAUUCGUGCCAACCCAACAGACACUUUCGGAGAUACCUGUAGUGCACCUUUAUAGCCACCAGUUACGUUGUGAUGUUUGGUACACCCAAAGCAUUCCUACGGUAUCCGGGAGUUGCACAAUCUCAUGGUCUAAGGAAAUGAUACUUGACAUUUAGAAAAGCUCUUAGCAAACGAACUACACGAUCUUGUGAUAUGCUUAGGAUUGGAUCUUGUCCAUCACAUCAUUCUCCUAAUGAUGUGAUCCCGUUAUCAAUGACAUCCAAUGUCCAUGGUCAGGAAACCAUAACCAUCUAUUGAUCAACGAGCUAGUCAACUAGAGGCUCACUAGGGACAUGUUGUGGUCUAUGUAUUCACACAUGUAUUACGGUUUCUAGUUAAUACAAUUAUAGCAUGAACAAUAGACAAUUAUCAUGAACAAGGAAAUAUAAUAAUAACCAUUUUAUUAUUGCCUCUAGGGCAUAUUUCCAACAAAAUUGUGGCUUGAGAUAGCCUUUUUACUGGCACGUUCCAUCAAGGGGGAGAUCAUGCCCGUUUUCUCAGGGAUAUCAUCAGGAUUUUGUUUCUCCCCAUAUGCUCAAUGACAUCUUUUGUGGGAGUGGCAUUUUUUAUCGGCACAGCAAAGGGACUCUUGGCCUUUCAUUAACUUAUAAAAGCAAAAGAGAGGACAACGCACUAGGCCACACCCUCACCCCCCUCCCCGCUUGCAGCUUCGUCUAGCUCCAGCGCCCAGAUCCAAUCUAGCACUCCUUUUUAGCGAGUCCAACCUUCCCCACCAGCCAUGGCCGAUAACCUCAAGGGGCGUUGGGGUGGUUCCACCGUGCUACACUAGGCGUGAGGGACUGGUCCUCACGGAACCCUUGGUCGUGAGUAUCCGUCCACUCCGCCAUGAAGUCGGCGAGAGCCGCCCCCUUGAUGACCCUAGUCGUAUUGAACUCCAACUGGAAAGCCCGCAGUUCGAUGUUCCACUCGGCGACUCUGCCAGUAGCAUUUGGGCUGCGCAACACCUUCUCUGGGGGUAUGCAGAGACAACCUUGAUGGGGUGGCCUUGGAAAUAAUGGCGCAGCUUCCUUGAAGCGACGAGGAGCGCGAGAAGGAGCUUCUGCUGCAUAGGGUAGGUCACGCAUCCCGUAGUGCUGUGUCGACAAAGUACACCAGAUGCUCAACAAGGCGCCGGGUAUCGACUGCAACCUGCCUUGCGCACGGCUUGGGCGCCUCAUCGGGCGCCUCAGGGGCGGCGGCCUCAGGGGCACAGUCCUGCGGCGACAAGGGCUCCACGGCCCCGCGCGAGCCGUCUGACCCCGCGCCGGCACUGGUGCGCUCUUACCAGACUGCCCCGAGCGCCGCACUGACCGAAUGCGCGGUGACAGCUAAGUAGAGCACCAGGGGCUUGCGAGGGCAGGGCGCCACCAUAACAGGCGGGCUCGUGAGGUACCUCUUGAGGUCCUCGAAGGCUGCCUCCGCUUCCAGGGUCCAUUCGAAGUGGCCCUUCCUCUUAAUAGAGUUUAAAAAACGGCAGGGCGCGCUAUCCAAGCUUAGAGAUGAAGCGCCUCAGGGAAGUCACGCACCCUGCCAGCCUUUGCAUUUCCUUGAGGGUCUAAGACGGGCGCAUCCCUUCAAUUGCCUUGACCCUUUCGGGGUUGGCCUCAAUUUCUCAAUGCGAGACGAGAAAACAGAGCAGCUUCCAAAUCGAAAUAUUAAGGCAAGUAGAAGGAAGAGGAACCAUGAGUGGUGAUGUUGUGCUUAUCUAUACCAUCGCUUGUGAGCUAUGCAGUGGCAGCUGCCCUACAGAGAGGAAAGUUGUGGCCCGGGAACAUGGCGCCUCAAAGGCAAUGUUAUAUGCUGUUGAGGAAGGGUGCCUCUGAUGGUCGCGCUGCGUGUCAUUGCCAGUGCUGACAAUGGGCCAACGCUGGGAGGGAGGUGUCGCACCGCCGCAGGAGAACGGAGCAGAGCACAUGAUAACACGAGAGGGGGGGGGCAACUUACCAAACCAACCGCCAUGGUCACCCUGGAUUGGAUCCACCUUCCUGCACAUGUCGUCGUUACCGUCCUACGCCGCCACUACGCCAGCGCCUCCUUCAGGCACUGCACAGCGGCUGCUCCACCUCGCCAUUGCCUUCACACGGAGCAACCGAUCAGGGUGGAACAAUAGGGUGUUGGAGCACCUCCUCGUGUCAGCUUCAGCGCUUGCUUAGCCAAGGCGGCAACUCCCUACGACGUCGUGGGCGGACGGCUCUGGUGGCAUGCGAUGGCGGGCGUCGGUGAUCUGGGCGGGCAGAAGGUCGAGGCGCGGGGUGGCUUGCAGCGUCGAGCUGUGGCGCGCUUGAACAACGGGGACGGCGGGACUCCGGCACCUGAACGGGCGUGAGGCCGCAAGCUCAUGGUCGAGAGCAAUGACAUUGGCCCAAGAUGACGGCGACGUCGAUGAUGUGCAGCCGCGGCCUGAGUUUAGCCUCCCGCGCGGAUGUACGUUGCCUUCCCUUCCUCUCCUCCGUCAUGGCCUCUGAUCAUGGGGCGAUGGGAGAGAAUUUUGGAGCUUGGUGGUGGGACGUGGAGGAGGCGGCUGUAUUGUCUCGGGAUGAAGGAGAGACAAUUUAUAGAUCUACAACAGCGGUGGAGGGGACAUGAGAUUGGACUGAAGUCACGUGUCCCGACUGGAUCCAUCUUCCGUAGAAAAAAACUGAAACCAAUGUAAAAAUUAUAACGUGGCAAACGAAGAAACCAGAGUCAAAGCAGCGAUGGGCACGUACGAUCAGAACAUGAAAGGAAACUGACGUGACCCUUCAUGUGCAUUCAAUAGAAAGAAAGACAUGGUAAAAAAAGUGCAAGACGCUAGGUAGCUAAGAGAUAGGAACGACAAGGAAAGCCUCCGUCACACGCGUCAUUUUCUCAGGGGCGGUAAAAAAUUCCGGAAAAACCAGAAAAAUCAAACCCUUACUGGCUUAGUAUUCUUAGUAUAUAGUGUUGAUAUUGCCAUAUCUUUUUCUUUAAUAUAUAGUACGCACACGUGUGCAUAUUCGAGAAAAAAAAGUGUUGAUAUUGCCAUGUCCAUUCCUUGUGACCAUUCUGCACGUACAGAAUUACAGUGUUGAUAUACAGAAUUACAAUGUUGAUAUACAGAAUUGUCACAUUGUAAUUCUGUAUAUCAACAUUGGUCUGAUAUAGUGCAUGUACUGGUCUGCGCCAAUGUCCAUUCCAUGUGGAUCAACUGGUCUAUAGGGUAAUUAUUUUUACGAAUUUUGACACUGGUCUGCACCAAACUCUGGUAGAUGCUCUGGAGUCGCCGAACAUUUUUGUUACUGAGUUUUGACAUUGGUCUGGUAGAUACUGUAAUGUGUUAAUCUAUUAAUCUGAAUUUUGUUACUGAUGAUGACAGAAAAUUUGUGCACUGUAAUUUGUUCUGGACAGCUCCGUAGUUAUUGGAUUCAGUUAACCAAAGUUUAGUUCUUGUUGGUGCAAGUGCAAAAGUUACUGACAAGAUGCAAUCAUUUUUCUUAUUGGUGCAAAAAUUACUGUCAAGAUGCAUAUCCUGUUGCUCCUCGGAAUGAGCUGCUAUGUUCUCAACUCAACUCAUUUUGACAAGCAUGCAGAGAAGAUAUAAAUAAACAGGAAAACACUAGCUUGUACUUUGGCUUUCUAGUUUGUAUAAAAAGAAGUCCUGAGUCCAACUUCUACUGAUCAUGAUCCAACUUGUACUGAAUUUUCCUCACAAUUAUUCAAAACUCACAAUAAGCUACUGUAUUCCAUAUAACUCAGUAUCUUCUUUGCCAAAUAAUCACAUGCAGAGAAGAUAGUACUCUACUUUGCCAGGAAAUCACGAUCACAACUUCUACUCUACCCCAGAAUAAUUAUGUAUCUUCUUACACUAGCAGUAGCGGAUUUACAAGCAUGGAUGGAUCAAGUGUUGAGUAUGAAGGCUGUGAACUUGAUCAGCCAUUGAUCAAGUGUUCAGUAUGGACUACAAAUGCUUUCGAUUUUAAACACACUAUUGUUGAUCCACCGCUCAAUUUCGCAGGAGUAAAGAACUGAAUGAUUUUACCGAUCCACACUAUUGCUUUCUUCUGUUUUGCCCGAUCCACACUAUUGUUUCUGCCUUUCUCUGCUUCUUGCUCAAUUGGAAGUAAUUUCACAUCAGUUUCACAGGAGGAGUGCCAACAGAGGCAAUGGUCCUGCGAGCUGCGCCCGGAAGCGCGCGGGAAGGUUGAAAUAAAUUGAGUAGCCAAAGGCCUCGUGCACAGUAUGGAAGGAAGAGGAAAAAUGGCCCGACGGCGGCUGCGCUUGGGAAAGCUGCCGAUGGUGACAACGGCAAGGAGGAAGGUGGAGACGGAGUGAUUAGCACGAUAAUUAAUUCUACGAGGGGGCUUUUGAAAAAACAAUUAGGCCCGACAUUAAUUUCGGGACGAUUGGUUUCAGUCAGACGGUUGGUUUUGCCUUCGUGACGUAGGAAAGUAUACGUAUGCGUGUGGGGGUUGGGUCCGUAAUAGAUUCGGCCAGACGAUGGAAAGAAACCCAAAACCAAUCGAAAAGGCCUCCAGAUCCGAUUCGGGAGGCCCCUUGCUUAUAGCACCAUCUAUAAGUAGGAAUCAAAUUGAUCCCAAGCAGACCCUCUCACCCGCCGCCGGCGUUUUUUGUCGAAUCGAUCGACUGAUCGACGGGAGGAGAAGCCCAGCCCCUUGGCAUCACGGAGUAAGAUGAAGACCUCGGCGCCGAUGAGUCCGGAUGAAAUCGACAAGGCGAUGGCUUCCGAGGCGAGGAAAUUCGCGUCGCACGCUCGCGUUUGGGAAUCCGCGUGGGGCGAAACAUGCGGCUUCUUCACAGACACCAGUGAGUAAUAACCAACCCAAUAUCAGUUUUAUUUACUAAUUAUUAAUCGGUUCAGCUAUCGGGCGCUUGAAAUUCUCUUUAGCGCCGCUUGCUUGAAUCCAAAUCAGUCAGAGCACCAACGUAGUCAGAGCACCAACGAGGAAAAUCGAGGGUCGGGUUCGAUGGCUGGCUGGGAUGCGACCGUGAACCCCGCACAGUGAACCGGGUGGGGAGAGCGGCAGUACAUGAAUACAAAUCGUUGCUGCAGUUCUUCGUCUCAUCACCGUAUCCGUCAGAUGAGCUCCAUCUCUUUCCACGUUGCCUCAUUGGUCACCAUGUCUGCUGGAAGAGGCGGUGAUGUGUUAGGGGAUUGAUGAUGCGUAUGAGCAAAGCGACUUGCCAUGGAAAGGCGGCGGCGGUGUUGUCCGGUGUGCAACAGGGGAGCAGCCGUGUGAACUGCACGAUCAGUUAGGUCACGCAGUGACUAAUGGGCCUAAUGGGCUUCCUUUUAUUUAUUCAUUUAGAGAUAUGCCUAUUUUCGUAUUUAAAAUAAAUCAGGUAUCGCCACUGGUAGAGUAGUUGGUGCCAUCAAUCCAGUCGACCCGGGAUCACGUCCCACGACCCAAAAUGUUGACCCGGAAAUCUGGCAACUAUAAUACGGCCGUGCGAGAAAAAAUCUGGUGCUCGGAGAGGCUUAGCAGCCGGGACCAUGUGGUUAAGCUGACUGCCCGCGGGUUUGGGGUUGAAGAUGAACAAUAGUAGACAGAUGGAGAUUGNNNNNNNNNNNNNNNNNNNNNNNNNNNNNNNNNNNNNNNNNNNNNNNNNNNNNNNNNNNNNNNNNNNNNNNNNNNNNNNNNNNNNNNNNNNNNNNNNNNNNNNNNNNNNNNNNNNNNNNNNNNNNNNNNNNNNNNNNNNNNNNNNNNNNNNNNNNNNNNNNNNNNNNNNNNNNNNNNNNNNNNNNNNNNNNNNNNNNNNNNNNNNNNNNNNNNNNNNNNNNNNNNNNNNNNNNNNNNNNNNNNNNNNNNNNNNNNNNNNNNNNNNNNNNNNNNNNNNNNNNNNNNNNNNNNNNNNNNNNNNNNNNNNNNNNNNNNNNNNNNNNNNNNNNNNUUACUCAUAGUUUUUUUUCUGCGACAACUAGUACAAAACCGGGGAGUACUAAUUAAUUAGUACAGUUCAUAUACAUCAGACCUUCGUUGUAUUCAAAAGUCUAGGAUUUACACUUUGUCCAAACUUCGGGCGGCUGUGAAUGGAUUCUUGUUUAUUUUGCUGGUCAUCGAGUGGUAGCUCAUGCUUGUUUAUUAGAACAUUCUAACGCUUGCUUAACCUUUUUACAGCGGCGCUGAGUUCCAUGCAGUUUACACACUAUAUAUCUGGACACAUCUCAAACAAUUGUGCUGGGUCCAGUCCGGAAACCUUGCAGGUCUUCUCCAUCAAACUCACGGAAAUAGCUGCUGGUCUCGCCUGGCCAUUGGCUGUGUACGGUGUGGUUGCUGUUCGAGACAUCGCAGAUCAUAACCGUAACCUUCUCUUCUGUUGUGAUAGGAGCCAUGCCCAAGAACUCAAUCAAGAUGUACCUACUUUCUUAAUUUUCUCUUCAUUUUAUUUUGAAAAUCUUGGUUGCAUGCACCCUCUGUUGUUGGUUAGGUUAAUGGGGUGUCGAUGAUGUUUGCAGGAUUCGUUUUUGCGCUUAAUUGGGCCAUCACGUGCAAUUGUGUUAACAGACAUAGUUGACAUUGAAAUCCAACUGAAAGUGAAAGGUCCAACAAAGUCUCAAGAUAAAGCGUUGAUCAGCCAUGUCUGUAAUUAUGGUGGAGAAGGUCUUGGUGUAUCUACCAACCCUUUGCAUUGAUAAUUGCUUAUGUACAUUGGAGUUAUGCUUGCAGCGAGUCAAACGAACGGUCCAGGCUACCAUCUUGAGUGCCCAAGUUGUCAAGUGUGGUUCAUGGCCUUUUGAAUAUGGUGGCCGAGUUGCUUGCUCCUCACCAUCAGGGGAAAUGGUGGUUACUGAGAGUGGAGUCACUCAUGCUAUCAAUCCCUCAUCUAGCCAAAUUGUACUGCUUGAAUCAAAAGGUGAAGCAAUGCUGAAAGGUCGUCGUGGUAGUAACAUAUAUCUGUCGAGGCAAGUUAUUUCUAUAGAAACUGAAGGACAGCUGGACGUUGCCAUAGAAGCCUACUCAAAAUCUGGUGAUGUCACUGCACGAGGUCAUGUCUGUUUCGUGCCCCAAUUUUGCAACAUAAGCCAGGAAAAAUGUGCCAUUGCUGACGUUGAGGUGGUGAUUACUGUUGCUUGGUCCCUUGUCGCUACAAGCAAAAGGGAAGUGGCGUGGAACACUGAAAAGACAAGGCAACAGCCAACACCAACCAAACCUUUGCGCAUGUUAGAGUAUACUGUGUAUAUAACCUACAGCAAAUGUAUAUGGUCAACCGCUGGAAGUGUGAGUGCGUGUGAUCGUGGCACACGAUCUGUGUGUAGUGGCGCAUGAUCCCCUCGGCUGAGGCCAUCUGUAACCUGUAUAUUAACCCCAGCCGAUGAGCUAAUGGAUAUGCGUUGAUUCCCAUACUUCAUUCCUCCUCAAACAUUGUAUUAGAUACCCCUGACCAGAUCAAUCCCUUUGCUCCGGUCGCCGAUCCUGCUGCCGCUGCUAUGGGCAACGGCUCUGCCCCCUUGCUGCCGCUCCGCCACCGCCGCCUGCACUUCUAUGCACUGGCCCGGCCGCUGUCACACCACCAACUUUCGGCAUUUUAACGGCCCUUGCUACAUUUGAGCCCAUUUCUAGUCCGAAGUGACUUUUGACCUCUUAACGGGCCAUGGUCUUCGUGGAAAAAUUUCAGCCCAGCCUGACAAUCGGCAUGUUAAAGGCCCGUGGAAUAAUUGGACCCAUUUAUGGCCUGAAUUUGCAUCCGGCUUGUACGGGGAGUCUGCAUGCACCAAGUGGAUCGAGGCUCACAAGCGAUGCCUUCGUGCUGAGGGGAUCAAGGUCUGAUUCUUCUCCAGUCCCCUGAGGAUGCUGCAUUUGAUUUCUUGAAUGUUGCAGAACAUGUUAUUUGAGAUUCAGACUUGUUGUCUUGUUUUUCAAUGCUGUUCCUGUAUGGUUUAAUGGUUAGCGAGCUUGAUACCUGUUUCCAUGGGAAAUAAAUUACUGAUGACUGUGACUUUAUGGGUUAUAUGAGAAGUUUUCUUGGUGUUCAUAUUGUUGCCCAUCUCUGCUUUGUUUGGCAUGGAAGAAACUACAAUAUUCUCGAUAUGGAAAUUUCAUAGUGAAAACUGAUAGUAAGACAACAUCAAGAAUAGAGCCUUCAAAUUUAUUUGCUCGUUGCUGCCAAUGCCCAUGGUUUCCAUGGCAUAAUCACCCUUAUUCUCCUCUCAUCCUUUUCCCCAGACCAAAUCAAUCACUCGUCACCAAUGAACUAGUACUAGUUAUUUUCUACUACUUGCAGGCACUCUACAUCACUCUCUCCAUCCAUCUUACACAGUUUUCAGACCUUUAGCUAGGCAUCACGCUGCACAUCAUCAGUUCACCUUCAG